rnacentral:rRNA from 1 species
UACGGGGGGAGCAAGCGUUGUUCGGAUUUACUGGGCGUAAAGGGCGCGUAGGCGGCCUCUGCAAGUCGACUGUGAAAUCUCCGGGCUUAACUCGGAACGGCCAAGUGAUACUGUCAAGCUAGAGUGCAGAAAGGGCAAUCGGAAUUCUUGGUGUAGCGGUGAAAUGCGUAGAUAUCAAGAGGAACACCUGAGGCGAAGGCGGGUUGCUAGGCUGACACUGACGCUGACAGCGCGAAAGCCAGGGGAGCAAACGGG